GGGACAUUGGCCGGGAGACUCAGAACAGGUGGGAAGGGAUGGGGCUUGUCGUGGGAGCCCCAACACCUUUCACCUAUGGGUUGCUUCUCCCUCCCUGUCCAGUCUCUUCCUCUUGUUUGGGGUCUCUCUCCUCACCCCCACCGUGCAUCCCCUCCAGAAUCCAGCCCCUCCAGGGGCGGCUCCCCAGCGCCGCUGUCCCCACCCCGGUAAAGGCAGGCUCCGCUCCCAGGCUCAGCCCUCACCGUAGGGUCUGCACUCCGCGGUGGGGCGCUCCCCCAGCUCCCGCCCGGCCCAGAAGCCAUGGUCAGCGUCUGCGGGUCAGGGUUACCUUGGCAACGCCAGCGACGCCAAGGGAGGAGGACUUCCACUCCUGGCCGACCCGCCCAGGCCCCAGUUGCCCUGGGCGACUUGCCCUCAGCCCUCCUCUCCUCCUCCCAGAAGGAGAACCACCAACAAGCUGUGGUCACAGGCCCACACGAGAGAAGCAUGCUCCAUCUCUACUUCCAUUCCAAAGCCGACUACUGUACCCCCCAACAAACCUUGAACAGGGAAGUGACUGUGUGUGAAGAGGCCUAUCUGAAAACUGGAGGUGGUAUCCUGGUACUGUGGGGAAGUGUAAACAGACCCUUGAAAAGAAAGCAGAACUACAGCACCAUGGAAAGUCCCUGUAGGUGACUUUUGCAAGAAGAGAUAAUGAAAAAGAGAGAAUUCUAUAACUGGGGGAUGGAGAUCUGAGCAAGGUGGCCCUCAGAUGGGAUCGAGCAGCUUGGGAGAGAGAAGGCACUUCAAACUGGAGACAGCCAGAAAAAAGUCAUGACCAUGACCUUCAUCCCUCGGAAAGGAGCCCGGAGCCUGCUGGAGGUGGCUGUAGAAAGCAGGUGGGAGGAGGGAUCAUUCCCAUUCCCGUUCCUCAGAUGUAAAACUGCGGGUUAAUUGUACAGGGAACUUGUAUUUUGGAAAACAAGGCUAAGGUGAAAAGUGUCUGGCUUGUGGUGUUCAAGUUCUUUAUCAUAGGAAAACCAAAGCGUUUGCUGCUUGAAAGAAGGAUUGCACGGGCAGAUCUGCUGAGUUCUUCACCUGAGGAGACUUAACAUCAGUCCCCCAGAGCAGGGGAGGUGACUCACCAGCUACUUCCUUGGCUACUAUUAUUUUCUUUCAGACAUUGGCCACUCCACCUAUUUCCUUUUAAUUUUUUUCCAUCAGUGAGAACUCUAUUUUAUAUCUUUGGAUUUUUUAAAAAAAUUUUUGUUAUUGUGUUUGGGUGUGUAUGUGUGUGUGUGUGUGUGACCCAAAACAAUUUGUACCAAAAUUCAGCUUCCCAAGACAAUUUGUUCUGCCUAUUGCCUUGGUAAAUCUAUUUCUGGGAAUAAGCUAAACAUGGAAAAAAUUUACACUCAAAUGUGUUCAUCGCAGUGUUAUUUUUAAGAGUUAAAAAUUGAACAUUACUCAAAGUCCAAUUAUAGGGGAAUGGUUGAAUAAAUGAAGGCAAUCUACCCAAAGGAAUAUUGUAUAGUCAUUAAAAAGUAUGGACCUUGGAAAAAAAA